GCAGGGACAGGUGACACAGAACAGGAACAGGUGACACAGAGCAGGGACAGGUGACACAGAAUGGGAACAGGUGACACGGAGCAGCUGCCACCAGCAGCUCCACCUGUCCCCCCGGUGUCACCUGCGCGGGACCCCCGAUGUGGGGCUCUGGCUGACCUGGUGUCCCCUGUCUGUCCCCUUGUCUGUCCCCUCUGUCCCCCUGUCUGUCCCUGUCCCCCUGUCCCUGGUGUGUCCCAUGUCCCUCCUGUCCCCUGUGUCCCCC